GAAAUGCGAUAAGUAAUGCGAAUUGCAGAAUUCAGCGAGUCAUCGAAUCUUUGAACGCACAUUGCGCCCCUUGGCAUUCCUUGGGGCACACCCGUCCGAGCGCCGUUUAGACCAUCAGGCCCUGCCUGGCGUUGGGGAGGCCGGCCCGGCCCCCUCGAAACACUUUGGCGCCACGGGCCUGGCUACGAUGCAGCGAAAUCCGCGUCGAGGCCGGCCCAAGGCCGCCUGGCCCAUUUAGAACGUCAUGGCCUCGGAUCGGGUGGGGACACCCGCUGAACUUAA
rnacentral:misc_RNA from 1 species